rnacentral:rRNA from 1 species
GACGAACGCUGGCGGCGUGCUUAACACAUGCAAGUCGAGCGGGAAACUUCGGUUUCCAGCGGCGGACGGGUGAGUAACACGUGGGCAACCUGCCUCACAAUGAGGGAUAGCCUUCCGAAAGGAAGAUUAAUACCUCAUAACACAAGAGAAACGCAUGUUUCUCUUGCCAAAGAAUUUCGUUGUGAAAUGGGCCCGCGGCGCAUUAGCUUGUUGGUGAGGUAACGGCUCACCAAGGCUUCGAUGCGUAGCCGACCUGAGAGGGUGAUCGGCCACAUUGGAACUGAGACACGGUCCAGACUCCUACGGGAGGCAGCAGUGGGGAAUAUUGCACAAUGGAGGAAACUCUGAUGCAGCAACGCCGCGUGAGUGAUGAAGGUCUUCGGAUUGUAAAGCUCUGUCUUCUGGGACGGUAAUGACGGUACCAGAGGAGGAAGCCAUGGCUAACUACGUGCCAGCCGCCGCAGUAACAC